rnacentral:snRNA from 1 species
AUACGCUGGUUUCUCUUCAGAUCGCAUAAAUUUUUCGCUGUUUACUAAUGAUUUCCGUGGAGAGGAACAAUUCUGAGAAAGAAAAAAA